AGCAGGGGCUGACCGAACACUUCGCGCACGCGACUUUAUCGAAGAGGCGUAGCUGAAGACGUUCGGGGCGCAUUUGCCGGCCGCCCGCUGCUCUUGUGUGCUCGUUGCUACCGCAGCUAGAAUAAUCUGCGAUGUCAACUCCGGAGCAGCUUCCCGCGCUCUCAGCGGCGGGCUCACCGUCGUCGGGAGGGGCUUCCUCGCAUCACUCACCGCACGAAGCAUCGCUCUCGUUUCCCGCUUCGGUGAUUCCUGGCGACGCCUCUGCGGAGUCUCCGCGCGCUUGGUCGAUGCCGCGGUCUUCAACGGCGAGCGAGGAAAGCGCAGCAACAUCGCAACUGCAGCAAAAGCCAGAUGCACCGGAGUCACGCCUUGGGGGGCGGAAAGUGGUGUACUUUGUGGAUCACUCCGUCACUUCCAUAGCCUAUGCAGAGGGUCAUUUGAUGCGACCGUCUCGUGUGCGUGCGCUGCACGCGCUUGUUCAUUCCCUGGGCCUCGACAAUGCAGAAUGCAUGACUGUAUGUCAUGCUCGUCCGGCGACGGCGGAGGAAAUGGGGGCGUUUCACCGCAGCGCGUACUUGGAAUGUCUGCGGCAGGCACCGGUCAUUUGCGGAAAUCCGCUGGACGAGAUGUCCUUAGCUUUUCAGAAGGAAUUCGACGUCCCGUUCGCGUCUCAGAACGGCGACUGCCCUCUCUUCCCUGAGGUGUGGGCGCUGGUGUCCAGCCAGGCCGGCGCCUCGCUUGCCUGUGCAGAGGCCCUCGUACGCGGCGAUGCAACGGUGGCGAUGAACUGGGCAGGCGGCAUGCAUCACGCCGCUGCCGCCCACGCAAGCGGGUUCUGCUUUGUGAAUGACAUUGUGUUGUGCAUCCGCCGGCUGCUGCGGCACUACCAGCGCGUCCUCUACGUUGACCUGGACGUGCAUCACGGGGACGGCGUGGAGGGGGCCUUUUAUGGCAAUCACCGCGUGAUGACGCUCUCGCUGCACCAGUUCGGCAACGGCUUCUUCCCCGGCACCGGCGACUAUCCGACGCGUGAGACGGCCGACAGCUUCGCCAUCAACGUCCCGCUGCCCACGCGCACGGGAGACGCCGCGUACCUCUUGUCGUUCCGCACUGCACUCUCCAGCGUGGUUCAGUGCUUUGAUCCGGAGGCGAUGGUCGUGCAAUGCGGCGCGGACACCAUAGCGGGCGACCUCAUUGGGCGGCUUUGCGUCACUACGUUGGCGCACACGCAGUGUGUGGCAGAUGUGCUGUCGCUUGAGCGACCGACGGUACUGCUUGGUGGAGGCGGUUAUCACGUGUUUCACACAGCGCGCUGCUGGGCGAUCCACACCGCCACCGCGCUGGGUCGCACAGCUGCACAGUUGCCCUUGUACAUCCCGCGCACAGACCCGUACUAUAUGGAUUACCGGCGCGAAUGCACACCGAAGCGUCCGACGCUGCAUGUGUUUCUCGACCCUGACGUCGAUGAUCCGCUGCCGCUGGGGGACAGCUUGGCGUUCUGGCGUCAGCUCUGUCGCAGCAUCCAGUGGCAGAUGCGCGCUGCCCGCCUUGUGCGGCAGGGGUUUUUCCGUACACUACAGCUUUGCCGGCAGCGACGGGCAGCGUUGCUGAGACAGUUCGCUACGCAAGAGGCAGGGAGAGAAUCUGGUAUCGGUGUCAGCGGCCCUAAGCGCCCGCGCUCAGCAAAUGCAACGGACCGCGAUGCCAAGGAGGGGGUGGAGGACCGAGUGGUCUCGGCGUGAUAGUUGCGGAGGAGGAGUGCACUUCGGCCUCUCCUUGCCACUGCUUUUUCUUUGACUUGCUGCUUACAUCGUGCCCGCGUGUGUGAGGAAGAGAGGGAGGAAACAAGCCUGGCGCAGCACUGACGCACAAUCACGCACAUGCGCACACGUACUCACAGAGGCCCACACACGAGCGCAAAGAAAAGAGAACGCCCACAAUGACGACGGAACAAAACAUUGAAACGUGCACGACAGAGGAAGAUGUGGGAGGGGCUGAGAGGGAGAGAGAGGAGGGAGGAGACGCUCAGACCGCAUCUCCGUUUCCAUGCCUUACACGCAGGAUCUUUGUAAGCUCGUGUGCACGUCUCCCGCUCUCCCUCCCCGCACACACUCGCACACGGACUCGCUUUGUUUCGUGUGUUGCCUCUCCCUUUCUUCUCUUGCCUUCCGGCGAGGGCUCUUCAUGGGGUGUGUCUUCUGCGCCGCUCGCUAACUCUCCUGUUGCACCUGAACCGGGGCUGCAUGGUUCGCUUUUUCUUUGCCAUCGUACUCUCUCUUGUAUUGCCCUUUCCUUUUUUUUGUC
rnacentral:misc_RNA from 1 species